GACGAACGCUGGCGGCGUGCCUAAUACAUGCAAGUAGAACGCAGUUGAGAAUGGGUGAGUAACGCGUAGGUAACUGCCUCAUAGCGGGGGAUAACUAUUGGAAACGAUAGCUAACACCGCAUACUGUGAGAUGGACCUGCGUUGUAUUAGCUAGUUGGUGAGGUAAAGGCUCACCAAGGCGACGAUACAUAGCCGACCUGAGUGGGUAAUCAGCGACACUGGGACUGAGUCACAGCCCAGACUCCGACGGGGGACAGCAGUAGGGACUCGACGGCAAUGAACGGAAGUCUGACCAAGCAACGCGGCGUGAGGGAAGAAGAUUUUCGGAUCGUAAAGCUCUGUUGUUAGAGAAGGGGUAACUAACCAGAAAAGGACGGCGAACUACGUGCCAGGAGCCGCGGUAAUUC
rnacentral:rRNA from 1 species